ACGCGACCCCAGGUCAAGCGGGGCUACCCGCUGA
rnacentral:rRNA from 1 species